GAACAACUAAUCUAAUAUUGAAUGGAAGCCUUUGUUUGCGAAGUUUGGAGGAGAAGGGAUGAGAGGGUUUUGGAAGAAAGAAAAAAAAGGAGUAAGUGAAAGAAAUAGAUGACAUUUGGAGGGGAGGGCUUUGGGCGAUUAAUUUUUCGAAUAUUAAUCUUCACAUAGCAAAAAACACUCAUUCCUAACUGAAUGGACGAAUGUACCUCUGUGUGACUUAAGUCACGCUCAGCGUGAGUUAACUCACGCAGGUUGUAAACCCAUCGUGACUUAACUCACAUUGCGUGUUGUUAUAGAACAACAAAGUCAGAAACAUAACUCGUUGACUUUGAAAACAUCCAAUCAAACUCAAUAUCUACCACAAAAUCAAGUAAGUGUUUCUUAUCAUGUUGCGUUGCCCUUUUUUGGAGAAAUUUUACACAUUUAGGAUUAUAGAAAUUUGGUUUGCAUGUUAGUUUUUUAUUUUUUUUAUUUUAUGAAUUAAGUUAUAAAUUGUUGAUUAGAGUAGGUUUGAUUGAAAUGUGGUAGGUUAGAAUUAGGAAUUGUUAGAAAUUGUGUUGAACUCUAGGAAUUCGAUAAAAUGUCUCAAUGAAAAUUUGUUUGUUUUUUGCAUUGUUAAUGAUGAAAUUAGUUAGAAAUUGGUUUGUUAAUGUUGAUUAUAGUUAGUUUGACUGCAAUGUGGUAAUUUACGGAUUGAAAUGACACUGCCGAAAUUUAACUGUUGUUGAAUAGUUAGAAAUGACACAAUGUCCCUAUGAAAAAAUUUAUUGAUUUUUUUAUUUUUAAAAUGUUGUGUAGAUAUGUCUCAGAGGCCUAUCAGAAUUAGGGUAGGGAUGGAGUCUACUACAGGUAGUGCACGGGCCGAAAAGGUCAAUCCACGCACUCCUUAGGCUGGUAGACGGAGACAUAGGGCACGGGGAUUGGUAAGGGUAAUGAUGCAAAGGGAUCAAUGUCACAGGCGUGUGUGUCGCAAAUAGUGGACCUGCCGUAGUAUCAACAUCAGCAUCAGCAUGAGGCGUAUCAACCUCAAUAUGAGCAGCCUCGGUAUGAGCAGGCUGACCAACAAGAGGGUGAGGCUCAGAGCAGGCUUCGAAGGAGCUGGAUAUGGAGUUCCAGCCCGGACUGUAGGGCUUUCCUGGCGGGCCUACUUAGUUGUCGCUUCUACAGAAUUUCGGUAAACAUGUGGCAUGCAGGCUCUGGGUUGAUGCUCAA
rnacentral:lncRNA from 1 species